UACGGAGGGUCCAAGCGUUAUCCGGAUUCACUGGGUUUAAAGGGUGCGUAGGCGGCUCAGUAAGUCAGUGGUGAAAGCCUACAGCUUAACUGUAGAAUUGCCAUUGAAACUGCUAAGCUUGAGUUUAGUCGAGGUAGGCGGAAUGUAGCAUGUAGCGGUGAAAUGCUUAGAUAUGCUACAGAACACCAAUUGCGAAGGCAGCUUACUAGACUGACACUGACGCUGAGGCACGAAAGCGUGGGGAACGAACAGG
rnacentral:misc_RNA from 1 species